rnacentral:rRNA from 1 species
ACUUAAAUUGAAGAGUUUGAUCAUGGCUCAGAUUGAACGCUGGCGGCAGGCCUAACACAUGCAAGUCGAGCGGUAGCACAGAGAGCUUGCUCUCGGGUGACGAGCGGCGGACGGGUGAGUAAUGUCUGGGAAACUGCCUGAUGGAGGGGGAUAACUACUGGAAACGGUAGCUAAUACCGCAUAACGUCGCAAGACCAAAGUGGGGGACCUUCGGGCCUCAUGCCAUCAGAUGUGCCCAGAUGGGAUUAGCUAGUAGGUGGGGUAAUGGCUCACCUAGGCGACGAUCCCUAGCUGGUCUGAGAGGAUGACCAGCCACACUGGAACUGAGACACGGUCCAGACUCCUACGGGAGGCAGCAGUGGGGAAUAUUGCACAAUGGGCGCAAGCCUGAUGCAGCCAUGCCGCGUGUGUGAAGAAGGCCUUCGGGUUGUAAAGCACUUUCAGCGGGGAGGAAGGCGGUGAGGUUAAUAACCUCACCGAUUGACGUUACCCGCAGAAGAAGCACCGGCUAACUCCGUGCCAGCAGCCGCGGUAAUACGGAGGGUGCAAGCGUUAAUCGGAAUUACUGGGCGUAAAGCGCACGCAGGCGGUCUGUCAAGUCGGAUGUGAAAUCCCCGGGCUCAACCUGGGAACUGCAUUCGAAACUGGCAGGCUAGAGUCUUGUAGAGGGGGGUAGAAUUCCAGGUGUAGCGGUGAAAUGCGUAGAGAUCUGGAGGAAUACCGGUGGCGAAGGCGGCCCCCUGGACAAAGACUGACGCUCAGGUGCGAAAGCGUGGGGAGCAAACAGGAUUAGAUACCCUGGUAGUCCACGCUGUAAACGAUGUCGAUUUGGAGGUUGUGCCCUUGAGGCGUGGCUUCCGGAGCUAACGCGUUAAAUCGACCGCCUGGGGAGUACGGCCGCAAGGUUAAAACUCAAAUGAAUUGACGGGGGCCCGCACAAGCGGUGGAGCAUGUGGUUUAAUUCGAUGCAACGCGAAGAACCUUACCUGGUCUUGACAUCCACAGAACUUUCCAGAGAUGGAUUGGUGCCUUCGGGAACUGUGAGACAGGUGCUGCAUGGCUGUCGUCAGCUCGUGUUGUGAAAUGUUGGGUUAAGUCCCGCAACGAGCGCAACCCUUAUCCUUUUUUGCCAGCGGUCCGGCCGGGAACUCAAAGGAGACUGCCAGUGAUAAACUGGAGGAAGGUGGGGAUGACGUCAAGUCAUCAUGGCCCUUACGACCAGGGCUACACACGUGCUACAAUGGCAUAUACAAAGAGAAGCGACCUCGCGAGAGCAAGCGGACCUCAUAAAGUAUGUCGUAGUCCGGAUUGGAGUCUGCAACUCGACUCCAUGAAGUCGGAAUCGCUAGUAAUCGUAGAUCAGAAUGCUACGGUGAAUACGUUCCCGGGCCUUGUACACACCGCCCGUCACACCAUGGGAGUGGGUUGCAAAAGAAGUAGGUAGCUUAACCUUCGGGAGGGCGCUUACCACUUUGUGAUUCAUGACUGGGGUGAAGUCGUAACAAGGUAACCGUAGGGGAACCUGCGGUUGGAUCACCUCCUUACCUUAAAGAA